GGUGGAGUGAUUUGUCUGGUUAAUUCCGAUAACGAACGAGACUCUGGCCUACUAACUAGUCGUCGGAUCGCUUCAGUCCGACCGACUUCUUAGAGGGACAAGCAGCGCUUAGCUGCAUGAAAAAGAGCAAUAACAGGUCUGUGAUGCCCUUAGAUGUCCGGGGCUGCACGCGCGCUACACUGAAGGAAUCAGCGUGUGGGUUUGCCUGGCUCGAAAGAGCUGGGUAAUCCGGUGAAAAUCCUUCGUGAUUGGGAUCGGGACUUGCAAUUAUUUCCCUUGAACGAGGAAUCCCUAGUAAGUACGGGUCAUCAGCUCGUGCUGAAUACGUCCCUGCCCUUUGUAC
rnacentral:rRNA from 1 species